CUUUGAUGAAGUUUUCGGAUGGAUUUAAACAGCUUAGUGGCGGACGGCUGAGUAACGCGUGGGUAACCUGCCUCACACUGGGGGAUAACAGUUGGAAACGGCUGCUAAUACCGCAUAAGCGCACAGUACCGCAUGGUACAGUGUGAAAAACUCCGGUGGUACAGGAUGGACCCGCGUCUGAUUAGAUAGUUGGUGGGGUAACGGCCUACCAAGGCGACGAUCAAUAGCCGGCCUGAGAGGGUGACCGGCCACAUUGGGACUGAGACACGGCCCAGACUCC
rnacentral:rRNA from 1 species